GAUAAUUCUAUUAAGAGCUUAUUGCUCAUCCUCCUCUUUACCCUUACGGUACCCUCAAGCACUUUUUUUUGGGACAACAAAUAUAAGAACAGUGCUGCAAUCACUACAUAUCUGUACUUUGACUCAUUGAACUCUGACUUGAUGUUUCACGCGUAAGAGUCGAUGUUUCCAUCAUUGGUGAUUAGCUAUGUGGGCCUAAGCCCAUUCCUUUUGAUGUUUUCAACACCAAUCCUUGCAAGUCCUUUUGUAGUGGCUCUCCAAAUUUGGAAGAAAAAAAAAAAGAUCUCACAAAAUUAAUAUUAAUACCCCAUCUGUAAGUAAUUGUCUUUACUAACUAUUCCUUAGUGGCCCAUCUGCCUUAUAUUUUGCCAUUCUAUAUUUGGCUAUAAGCCCGGAUAGAGUGCCUCACAUCACAAUGGCAAAGAAUAAGGUGGCACUGGUUUAGGCCAAACCGAAUUUCCAAUAAUAAAUUCCUAGCCUACUCAGCUUCUUUGCUACAAGAUGCCAAAGCUACAACACUCUCCGCCAUUGUAAAGUUCCGCAAUAAAGUUUGUUUCUUUGAUCCCCAGGAGAUAGCUCCUCCUCCAGGAGUGAAUAUCCAAAACCACUAGUCGAUGGUAUGAUCAUCACGCUCAGUUAACCAACUGGCGUCUGUAUAUCCCUCCAAAACUGUAUGAUACCCGCUAUAACAAAUACCAUUAAUUCAUGGUUUCUGUAGUUCUCAAUAUUCUUGUUAUAGAGCAUUCCAAUGAUAGUGCUAGGACAACUAGUAUAUCUAACCUAAGUUUACCCACUGCUAAGCAAUGUCUGGCCCUAGUACUGUCAUAGCAUACAAUCAAAUCAGCAAUUAUCUUAGCAUAUUAUUACUUGAUCAACAGGCUCUUCCAGUAUUUGGAUAUAAUUCAAUUUUGGAUCAAAAGGUGUAGUCACAGGUUUACAAUCAAACAUAUCAAACUUUCUAAGUAUCUUUUCAAUAUAGUGUGGAUUGUGAACGAGUAUACAUCAUUGUUUCUUAGCAUCUUAAUUCCCAAAAUGACUUAGCAAUGCCCAUAUCUUUCAAAUAUCAAAUAGAUGACAAAAAUUUUCUGAACAUUCUCAAAUCUAUCAAUAUCGGUACCAAUAUUAACACGUCAUCUACAUACAAGCAUAUUAAUCCACCUUUUCCAUUUAAAACUUACUAUAAACACAUUUUGUCAGAUUCUUGUAUUCUAAAACCCAUUAGUUAUCAUAACUUAUCAAUUUUUCAUGCCAUUGUUUGGUGCUGGGUUUAAGACGCAUAAGAGAUUUAAUUAGUUUACAAAACUUUUUCUCUGGCCAGGCAUGACAAAACCCUCCUGGUUGUUUCCAUAUUAUUUCUCAUCUAAUUUCAACCAUUUAAAAAUGCUGUUUUAACGGUCCAUUUGGUGAAGUUCCAAUUUGUAUAUAGAUGCCAAUGCAAUAAGUAAACGAAUAGUAGUCUUCGAGCAACAGGAGAUAAGUGGUCAAGUAAUCUAAUCCCUCCUUUUGUUUAAAUCUUUAUCCACUAAUCUGCCUUAAACUUAUCAUAGUAACCAUCUAUUUUCAUUUUCGUUUUCUUUCGAACAAAUCCAUUACAAACAAUAGAUUAAGAACCAGGUGGUAAAAUCUACUAAUUUGCCAAGUUUUAUUACCCAUUAUAGAAUCCCUUUCAUCAUUAAUAGCCCUCCUUCCCACCCACGAUGCAACGUCUUGAGAUUUCAAUAGCAUCUCCAAAAGUAAGCGGGGUCAUAUUCUAAACGGUGUGACAAUGAAUUUGUCUAGAAUGUUGAAUCCUAUUCCCUUCUACCAAUAAAUGAUAAACUCUGGACCAAAAAUACUUUUCAUUCCUUACCCUCUACUCUCCUCCUAAGUAUACUAGAUUCACUUUCAUUAUCCCUUUUAUUAAAUAGGGGUUCCAAUGGUAAUUCCAUUACUGUUUUAUAUUAAUAAUUCCUAGAUAGAUGAUCUAUUCUCAUAAAUACUGUCAUUUCUAGACUCGAUACAGUAUUGAUUUCUAUUGUUCAUUAGCUCGAUCACUAGAAAUCUAUAAAACCCUUUUACCUAUUUUCAUCGCAUAAAACCAAGAAAAAUAAUUCAACAUCUUUUUGGUCCUAAUUCUUAAUUUUAGGUUCUGUAAUCUAACAAUGGCUCUACAACCCCCAAACUUUAUGAUACUUAAGUUAGGUUUUCUAUUUUUCUCCACAAUCGUAUGGUUGUUAUCUUAGUCUUUUUAUGAGAACACGAUUUAAAAUAUGGGCAUGCUUUACAACGCCUCACCCCAUAAUCCAUGCUAAGACCAGAAUUAAAAGCAUGCAUAAUCAUUUCCAACUAAAGUUUCUAGUUUUUCUUUCUGGCAACUCCAUUUUGUUGUGGUGUGUCUGCAAUAGAAGUUUCAUUCAUGUAUCUGCAACAAGAUUUCACAAUAUAAAGGAAUGGAUUCUCCUCCCCUAUCAGAUCUAAGACACUUAAUUUUAAUAUCACAUUGGAUUUUCAACUUCUGUUU
rnacentral:lncRNA from 1 species